rnacentral:lncRNA from 1 species
CCGAGAGAUGCCCUCAGAGCAUUUUUGCUUAAUUGGGCAGUGUAUCUGUUUUGGGGCACGUAAGGUGUGACAGACAAACAUCUGCCAAGAGCAUCACUGUCUCUGCAUUGGGAACAUCAAAUAGACUGUCUCUACUUCAACAGCUGCUGGCAUCUUCUGGAAGCAGUUCCAUCAUUUCUGCCUGUGGCCCUCAAAGGAAGGAAACUGCCAACACAACAUACAUGUGCAUCCAGAAAUCUCAAAAUCAGCAAAAGGAACCUUGGUACAGGUGGAAGCUGAGCUGCUCCAGCGUGGGUGCGAGGACAUAAGUACUCAGGUAAGGGGGCUCAUCUACUGUCAUAAUCAUGUAGGCCAAAAAAUAACAACUGAAAGCAGCAGAACUUCUCAACAUCUCAUAUAGGUUGUCAUUUAGCUGAGUGUGUUCUAAGAUUUUAAUGAAAACUGACACCUGUCACUUUAUGGCUGCAAUCUAAUAGUAUCUAUUUAAAAUAUUUUUCUGGAAGGACAGAGUUGUAGUUAAUUUUACCUGUGUAUUUUAACUUCUUCUGAAUGAAUUUGGCAGUGCAUUUUUCUUUUUCUUUUAGAAGUACAGUGGUUCAUCCUCUGAAGGCUAGAAAAGAAAUAUAAUUACUGUAUAUUAAUGGGAAAGGCAUAUGUUGACAAAAGACUGUAUGGAGACUUAGGCAUACAUUUAUCAAUAGGACUUGAGUAGCCUACUCCACUUCUAUCGCACUGCUUUCAGAACUUUCUUAUUAACAUAGCCUCGGAUGGGUCUGAUAUGCAGAUGGCUAGCCCAGAAACCUGG